CGAUAAGGGGACUCCAAGUGCGAGGGCAUACAGUCCUCGCUUUUCUGGACCGUAAGGUGGUCCAGGAAUAAGUGCUGGGCAAGACCGGUGCCAGCCGCCGCGGUAAUACCGGCAGCACAAGUGAUGGCCAAUCUUAUUGGGCCUSCGCAAAGCGUCCGUAGCUGGCCGAGCAGGUCCGUCGGGSCGCAAAUCCACGUGCUCAACGCGUGGGCGUCCGGCGGSCGCAAACCACUCGGCUUGGGGCCGGAGGACUCGAGGGGUACGUCUGGGGUAGGAGUGSCGCAAAUCCCGUAAUCCUGGACGGACCGCCGAUGGCGSCGCAAAGCACCUCGAGAGGACGGACCCGACAGUGAGGGACGSCGCAAAGCCAGGGUCUCGAACCGGAUUAGAUACCCGGGUAGUCCUGGCCGUSCGCAAACGAUGUUCGCUAGGUGUGGCGUCGACUACGAGUCGGCGCUGUGCCGCAGGGAAGCCGCUAAGC
rnacentral:rRNA from 1 species